AUGGAGUUAAGUUUGUCUCGUACGCUUCGUCUUUUUAAUCUCUUUCGUGAGUAUGAUGGAAAGGAAAAUUGUGCUCAAGUGCUAGAAGAAGAAUGCAUUAAAAUGCUUGAUACUAAAUCUUUGAAUGAUGAGCAUGAUUGCAAUGUUGUUAGUAUAAACUCCUUGAAUAUCCAUAGUACUAAUGAUGAUUGCUCUAGUCAUGAUGAAAAUAUAUCUUAUGAGCAUGUCAACUUUUGUGGAGUGCAUGUUUGCAUGAACACACCAAAUAGAGAAAAUAUAUAUUGCAAGAGGCAUAAGCAUUUAGAAACUAAAUGGUUGCAAGAAAGGCUAAAUGUGAGUGCUGAAAAUUUGAAUUUCCUUUGCCGUACUUGUGAACUUUGCAAUGAACAUGGUCAUUUACAUCUCCUAUGCAAAUUGUUUCAUGAUCGAAUCGUGUCCAAAAAUUGUGAUGAUUUGAUCUCCCUUGCUCAUUACAAUGAACUUAGUUUGCUUUUGGGUUAUGAAGAAUUGAAACGUUUACUCAAGGACCUUCCAGAAUUUGCCCAUAAGUAA
rnacentral:rRNA from 1 species